AGAGUUUGAUNNUGGCNCUNUUAAANANGGUGGCGGNGUGCCUAANACAUGCAAGUCGACCCCUUAAAGGGGAGCAAUCCAUGAGUAAAGUGGCGCACGGGUGAGUAACACGUGACUAACCUACCCAGGAGUGGGGGAUAACUGAGGGAAACCUUAGCUAAUACCGCAUAAUACCCACGGGUCAAAGGAGCAAUUCGCUUCUGGAGGGGGUCGCGGCCGAUUAGUUAGUUGGCAGGGUAAUGGCCUACCAAGACGAUGAUCGGUAUCCGGCCUGAGAGGGCGCACGGACACACUGGAACUGAAACACGGUCCAGACUCCUACGGGAGGCAGCAGUGGGGAAUUUUGCGCAAUGGGGGAAACCCUGACGCAGCAACGCCGCGUGGAGGAUGAAGUCCUUCGGGACGUAAACUCCUUUCGAUCGGGACGAUUAUGACGGUACCGGAAGAAGAAGCCCCGGCUAACUUCGUGCCAGCAGCCGCGGUAAUACGAGGGGGGCGAGCGUUGUUCGGAAUUACUGGGCGUAAAGCGCACGUAGGCGGCUUUGUAAGUUAGAGGUGAAAGCCCGGGGCUCAACCCCGGAAUUGCCUUUAAGACUGCAUCGCUUGAACGUCGGAGAGGUGAGUGGAAUUCCGAGUGUAGAGGUGAAAUUCGUAGAUAUUCGGAAGAACACCAGUGGCGAAGGCGGCUCACUGGACGACUGUUGACGCUGAGGUGCGAAAGCGUGGGGAGCAAACAGGAUUAGAUACCCU
rnacentral:rRNA from 1 species